rnacentral:rRNA from 1 species
GAACGCACCUUGCGCCCUUUGGUAUUCCGAAGGGCAUGCCUGUUUGAGUGUCAUGAAACCUCACCCCCACUUGGGUUUUUGCCUGAGCGGUGGUGUAUUGGGUGUUGCCUUGCCAAAGGCUCGCCUUAAAAACAUAAGCACCUUGGAUGUAAUACGUUUCAUCCUUCUGGGUGGCUGAUAACCCCACAUAUUCAUGAUCUGGCCUCAAAUCAGGUAGGGCUACCCGCUGAACUUAAGCAUAUCAAUAAGCGGAGGAAAAGAAACUAACUAGGAUUCCCUUAGUAACGGCGAGUGAACCGGGAUGAGCUCAAAUUUGAAAUCUGGCGUCUUUCAGGCGUCCGAGUUGUAAUCUAUAGAGGCGUUUUCCGCGCCGGACCGCGUCCAAGUCUCUUGGAAUAGAGUAUCAAAGAGGGUGACAAUCCCGUACUUGACGCGACAACCGGUGCUCUGUGAUACGUUCUCAAUGAGUCGAGUUGUUUGGGAAUGCAGCUCUAAAUGGGUGGUAAAUUCCAUCUAAGGCUAAAUAUUGGCGAGAGACCGAUAGCGAACAAGUACCGUGAGGGAAAGAUGAAAAGCACUUUGGAAAGAGAGUUAAACAGCACGUGAAAUUGUUAAAAGGGAAACGAUUGAAGUCAGUCGUGUGGGAAGUAUUCAGCCGUCUCUGGCGGUGUAUUUGCUUCUCACGGGUCAACAUCAGUUUGAUCCGGUAGAAAAAGGCGGGAAGAAGGUGGCACCCUCGGGUGUGUUAUAGCUUCCUGUCAUAUGUGCCGGACCAGACUGAGGAACGCAGCUUGCAGCAAUGCCGGGGUUCGCCCACGUACAAGCUUAGGAG